rnacentral:rRNA from 1 species
UAUUGUGGCCAGACCUCCUUGUCAAAGCCUGAUCUGGUCAGAUCUCUGAAGUUUAGCAGGUCUGGGCCUGGUCAGGACUGGGAUGGGAGAGCACUGGAACACCAGGUGCCACAGUGG